UACGUAGGGUGCAAGCGUUAAUCGGAAUUACUGGGCGUAAAGCGUGCGCAGGCGGCUUUGCAAGACAGAUGUGAAAUCCCCGGGCUUAACCUGGGAACUGCAUUUGUGACUGCAUGGCUGGAGUGCGGCAGAGGGGGAUGGAAUUCCGCGUGUAGCAGUGAAAUGCGUAGAUAUGCGGAGGAACACCGAUGGCGAAGGCAAUCCCCUGGGCCUGCACUGACGCACAUGCACGAAAGCGUGGGGAGCAAACAGG
rnacentral:rRNA from 1 species